GCUCGACUUAUCAUAACCCACCUACAUCACUGCUAAUGAAUCAUACAAAGACAAUCGGGGAUAUCUAUUGGUUAUGUGGUGAUAAACAAUUAAGGUCCCAAUUAGCUGGGCAAUGGUGGGGGGAGUGUGCCCUAACUAAAGUCAUAAUGCCUAACCAUAUUAUUCCAGAUGGUAGUCAUAACACAUUAGACCCCACACAUAUACACUCUAGAACCAAACGAGAGACUCCUAUCCGAGGGAGCUUUGACCCCCAUGUGUACAUCGACGCUAUAGGUGUGCCAAGGGGGGUGCCUAAUGAAUUCAAAGCAAGAGAUGAAGUGGCUGCAGGGUUUGAAUCCCUAAUUCCAAUGAUAACUGCCAACAAAAAUGUCAAUUGGAUUAACUACAUCUACUAUAACCAACAGCGCUUUGUCAAUUACACUAGGGAUGCCCUACAGGGCCUGGCAGAGCAACUACAAGCCACCACUCAAAUGACAUUUCAGAACAGAAUGGCCCUAGAUAUGAUUCUAGCUGAGAAAGGGGGUGUAUGUAAAAUCCUCCCUGAGACCAUGACAUGCUGUACAUACAUACCAGACAACACUGGGCCCAAUGGUAAAGUGACUAUGGCCAUAGAGAAGCUGGAUAGUCUUGCAGACGAG